rnacentral:rRNA from 1 species
UACGUAGGUGACCAGCGUUGUCCGGAUUUACUGGGCGUAAAGAGCGCGCAGGCGGUCGUUCAAGUCGAGUGUGAAAGCCCCCGGCUCAACUGGGGAGGGUCAUUCGAUACUGAUCGACUGGAAGGCAGGAGAGGGAAGCGGAAUUCCCGGUGUAGUGGUGAAAUGCGUAGAUAUCGGGAGGAACACCAGUGGCGAAGGCAGCUUCCUGGCCUGUUCUUGACGCUGAGGCGCGAAAGCUAGGGGAGCAAACGGG